GGCUGGUCUGAAAGUAGUGCAUUAUCUCAAUUGCAUGUUCACAGUCAGUUACAGACCAAACUCCUUGUUCUACUCUUUUCUCCCCUUCUCACUACUGCACUUGACUAGCCUCAA
ensembl:misc_RNA Y_RNA Y RNA